AUUGAACGCUGGCGGCAGGCUUAACACAUGCAAGUCGAGCGGAUGAAGGGAGCUUGCUCUUGGAUCCAGCGGCGGGCGGGUGAGUAAUGCCUAGGAACCUGCCCGGUCGUGGGGGAUAACGUCCGGAAACGGGCGCUAAUACCGCAUACGUUCUGAGGGAGAAAGUGGGGGAUCUUCGGACCUCACGCUAUCAGAUGAGCCUAGGUCGGAUUAGCUAGUUGGUGGGGUAAAGGCCUACCAAGGCGACGAUCCGUAACUGGUCUGAGAGGAUGAUCAGUCACACUGGAACUGAGACACGGUCCAGACUCCUACGGGAGGCAGCAGUGGGGAAUAUUGGACAAUGGGCGAAAGCCUGAUCCAGCCAUGCCGCGUGUGGGAAGAAGGUCUUCGGAUUGUAAAGCACUUUAAGUUGGGAGGAAGGGCAGUAAGUUAAUACCUUGCUGUUUUGACGUUACCGACAGAAUAAGCACCGGCUAACUUCGUG
rnacentral:rRNA from 1 species